GACGAACGCUGGCGGCGUGCCUAAUACAUGCAAGUAGGACGCAGAUGCGAACGGGUGAGUAACGCGUAGGUAACUACCUAUUAGAGGGGGAUAACUAUUGGAAACGAUAGCUAAUACCGCAUACUAGUAGAUGGAACUUCGUUGUAUUAGCUAGUAGGUUGGGUAAUGGCCUACCUAGGCAACGAUACAUAGCCGAGCUGGGAAGGUUAACGGCCAAACUGGGACUGAGACAAGGCCCAGAAUCCUACGGGAGGCAACAGUAGGGGAUCUUCGGCAAUGGGGGGAACCCUGACCGAGCAACGCCGCGUGAGUGAAGAAGGUUUUCGGAUCGUAAAGCUCUGGUGUUAAGGAAGCGGUACUUAACCAGAAAGGGACGGCUAACUACGUGCCAGCAGCCGCGGUAAUUC
rnacentral:rRNA from 1 species